AGUGAACGCUGGCGGUAGGCCUAACACAUGCAAGUCGAACGGCAGCACAGGAGAGCUUGCUCUCUGGGUGGCGAGUGGCGGACGGGUGAGGAAUACAUCGGAAUCUACCUUUUCGUGGGGGAUAACGUAGGGAAACUUACGCUAAUACCGCAUACGACCUACGGGUGAAAGUGGGGGACCGCAAGGCCUCACGCGAUUAGAUGAGCCGAUGUCCGAUUAGCUAGUUGGCGGGGUAAUGGCCCACCAAGGCGACGAUCGGUAGCUGGUCUGAGAGGAUGAUCAGCCACACUGGAACUGAGACACGGUCCAGACUCCUACGGGAGGCAGCAGUGGGGAAUAUUGGACAAUGGGCGCAAGCCUGAUCCAGCCAUACCGCGUGGGUGAAGAAGGCCUUCGGGUUGUAAAGCCCUUUUGUUGGGAAAGAAAUCCUGUCGAUUAAUACUCGGUGGGGAUGACGGUACCCAAAGAAUAAGCACCGGCUAACUUCGUGCCAGCAGCCGCAGUAACAC
rnacentral:rRNA from 1 species